CACCACGCGCAAGCUGUCUGUCUGUCUUGUACAACAUAUUGUGUCUGUGGAAAUGAGAUCAUUUUGUUUGAGUGAGUGGGGGAGAGACUGCUUGGAUCCGCGGAGAUUGAUGUCUGUGCGCAAAUGGGUUUUUGUGUGCAAGUCUGUGUGUGUAGAUUUGUGCGUAUGACAGAGCUGAGAAUAGCAACUGAAGCGUAAGAGAUUUACGGUGCAUUUGAUCAGGAUAUUAGUGAAAAUAAAUAGAAUUGUGCAGCAUGGAUAUCAAUGGGAUGACAGAUCGAUGUUUUUGUGGCUUUUUUGGCGCAGCAAAGCGUUCUGAGUGCAACCAGCAGUUAGUCGAGGCAAAAAACAAACAAAACAAAAACAAAAAAAAAAAACGGAACUUUAGAAGCGCAGCGUUUCGCGGGGGAAACAUUUUAGUAACGGACCGAAUAGAUGAUUAUCUAGGCUAGUGGGGGGAAAUGACUAAAAAAAAAAACGUGAAACGUAAUGAGAUAAAUGAUGACAGGCGAGUGGCGAGAUGUUGAACCUUGUUUCUGCGGAGGCGCGGCGUCGGACAGCCGGUCUGUUGGUUGCUGAACGUGGAAGCAGAUGGCUUGGUGGUCAGUGUGGCGUCGAGUAUUGAACCCAGGGCGUGAUGGAUGAGUGUUUGGAGCUGAUAUGGUGGACAUGUUAAAGCACCCAUCGACAUACAAUUGUGAUUGUCCUGGACAUUGAACGCCUGUGGGCUGUUUCACCCCACCAGCAGGUCAACCUGGUAUGAAGCAACCAAGUCCUGACAUGACCUCACCUCCUCAAGGUCAGUACCCCUGCAAGGGGAUAACUCUUCUGAUGACACACCCCUGAGCUUGGCCAGCUGCAUGAGCACUGCAGACUCCGAGCUGUCAGCGGAAAAGACUGCAUGAACUUUUGGUGGACACUGGAGAUACAUAUGGGCCUCUGAGUUGUGGACUAAGACUGUCACUGAAUAUGAUACUGAGAGAAGAAACAGUGUCUGCCGUUGUGAUCUGAGGGGGAGAAAGCAUUGCUAGCAUCUAUGGAGGACUGAGAACAGAGCCUGCUACAACUGGUGUUCUCUCCAGCUAUGGAAGAUGCAACGUCUGGGUUCCUGCUCUUCCUCCCACCUGACCUGCCACACGUCACUCUGUUCUACGACAGCAACCGCACAGACUGGUAUCAUGAUUCUUUAAGGUAAAACACAGACAGUCAUUCUAGGAAUAUGUAUGUGGCACCUGAACGUUUGGCAGCUGCUACUGCUGAACAAUUUAUAACGAUAUAUGAGGUCGGAUGAAACGAUUUCACACAUUUGUCUUUCUCUCCAUGUUGAGCACCACAAAGAAGUAGGGGCAUGGUUAAACAUUCCCUUCAGGCAACUGAUUGGGCUCCUACCAGCGUGCAGGAUGCACUCUCUGACUGGAAGGAGUUUUUCGGGGUUGCGACGUCAACCUCCCAGGAUUCACAGGUAGCACACGAAAUUUGACAUCUAAAGAUUGUUGUGUAGUUUCAGAUUAUAUUGGAGAUUCCUAAGGAAUGUGAAGAAGGGUCCACAAACCCCCAGACCUCGGCUGAGUGCGCGCUAAGGUCAACGAAGGACAGAAGUGGGGGUUGUUAUUUAGGGCGCUCUGACCAGAGUGCGGAGCCGUGAGGUCCCACCACAGGGUGCCAAAGGAAACACCGAGACCAGCGCAGAACCAGAGUGGGAAAGUCAUCAAAAGAAAGUGGUCAGAACCAAGGUGGACCAGCCCGUACCAGAUGGUGGAACGCACUUCGCACGCUGUCAGGCUCAAAGGAAAAGGCGACACCUGGUAUCAUUGGAGUCAGUGUGCACCCGCUGAGGAACCCCAGCGCUCUCAAGCAUCAGGUGCGCCAGGAUUUACAGGAUAACAUCACAACGCUGUGAAAGGGAGCCUAUCGGUGAAUCCUCUACUCAACCACGGUCAUAAUAAAACCCGUAGAGAGAUUCAGUGAGCUUAAGCUCACUCACAAAAAUCGCGCAAAGGAGACAGAGCAGAAGAACAAAGAAGAAGAGGCGGAAGAAGUGGGCAGUGAGCUGCUCUCCUGCUCCAGAAAAGAAAAAAAAAAAAAAAAAAGCAUAAAACAGAAGAGGCGGAAGUAGUGUUUUUUACCUGACCACAUGGUGUUGUAGCAACUCUUACACUCAGAGAGAAGAAGAAAACCAAUAAGAGACUCAGAGAACUAAAAAAAAAAAAAAAAAAAAAAAUUGUUUUUAUAUAUGUAUUUUUGCAUUUCUUGUUGAAAUUUGUGUGUUUCUCCACAGGUGUUUUUCCACAGGGGCACUAAAAUAGCAUUAACCAAACCCACUAAGGGUUGUGUUGCUGGAGGUCUAUUAUUAUCAGUUGUUAUUGUUACAGGUAUAUUGUGGUAUUUUUGCGACUUUCCAUUCCUGAACAUGUCCAGCUGAUCCACCUAGGAAGACCACAAAGACGCGCUAUUACAGCAGCAUCCAAUGACUGGUGCUUAGAACUUAUUACCAUUACAAUAUAAUCAAGUAUUUACCAAAGGUGUCAUAACAAACCGGUAAAUUUAGGGUUUUCUACUGCAAUAGUUUAUGGGUGAACUCUUAAAAGAGUUCAAAAGGGGGAAUUGUGGAAUGUAUUAACUUUGAUUCAUUUUUAGUACACAUUUAUGAAGGUAUAACAUGCUUUUAUUGUGCAAUAUAUUUGCUUUGAGGCCUGUCUGUUUACCAGAAGAAGAGAAUGUGAAUAGGUUCAGUGUAUGAGUAUCAGGAAAACUUUCAAGGCCAGUCCGAGGCAGUGGGAAAGAACAGAAACUCCAGUUCACAUGCAGCUGGAGAAAAUAAUGAGGGAAGAUAGUUAUUAGGGAGUAAGAUAGCGAUAGGAUGUGUGCGUCAUUCAUUGUGUGACUUUGUAUAAUCUGUGUUCUAACUUUAAUAAAACUAGCCUGAGCGGGAGAGAGAGCGAGAGUUGUUGCCCGGAAUCGGCAGGUGUAUCAUCUCUCCCCUUUGCAAAGGUGAAACUGAAA